rnacentral:rRNA from 1 species
AGAGUUUGAUUCUGGCUCAGGAUGAACGCUGGCGGCGUGCCUAACACAUGCAAGUCGAACGGAGUUAUUAUUAUGAAGUUUUCGGAUGGAUUAAUAAUAACUUAGUGGCGGACGGGUGAGUAACGCGUGGGUAACCUGCCUCAUACAGGGGGAUAACAGCUGGAAACGGCUGCUAAAACCGCAUAACAUUGCGACGGCGCAUGUCGAUGCAAUUAAAUAUUUAUAGGUAUGAGAUGGGCCCGCGUCUGAUUAGCUAGUUGGUGGGGUAAUGGCCUACCAAGGCGACGAUCAGUAGCCGGCUUGAGAGAGUGACCGGCCACAUUGGGACUGAGACACGGCCCAAACUCCUACGGGAGGCAGCAGUGGGGAAUAUUGCACAAUGGGGGAAACCCUGAUGCGGCGACGCCGCGUGAGUGAAGAAGUAUUUCGGUAUGUAAAGCUCUAUCAGCAGGGAAGAAAAUGACGGUACCUGACUAAGAAGCCCCGGCUAACUACGUGCCAGCAGCCGCGGUAAUACGUAGGGGGCAAGCGUUAUCCGGAUUUACUGGGUGUAAAGGGAGCGUAGGUGGUUCGGUAAGUCAGAUGUGAAAGCCCGGGGCUCAACCCCGGGACUGCAUUUGAAACUAUCGAACUGGAGUGCAGGAGAGGUAAGUGGAAUUCCUAGUGUGGCGGUGAAAUGCGUAGAUAUUAGGAGGAACACCAGUGGCGAAGGCGGCUUACUGGACUGUAACUGACACUGAGGCUCGAAA